rnacentral:tRNA from 1 species
GGGGAUUUAGCUCAGUGGCAUAAGCACCUGCCUUGCAAGCAGACGGUCGUGAAUUCAAUCCCUG